rnacentral:rRNA from 1 species
CCUACGGGUGGCAGCAGUGAGGAAUAUUGGUCAAUGGGCGUAAGCCUGAACCAGCCAAGUCGCGUGAGGGAUGAAGGUUCUAUGGAUCGUAAACUUCUUUUAUAUGGGAAUAAAGUGCGGGACGUGUCCCGUUUUGUAUGUACCUUAUGAAUAAGGAUCGGCUAACUCCGUGCCAGCAGCCGCGGUAAUACGGAGGAUCCGAGCGUUAUCCGGAUUUAUUGGGUUUAAAGGGUGCGUAGGUGGCUUUUUAAGUCAGAUGUGAAAGUCUGUGGCUCAACCAUAGAAUUGCAGUGGAAACUGGGAGGCUUGAGUAUAGUAGAGGCGGGCGGAAUGCGUGGUGUAGCGGUGAAAUGCUUAGAUAUCACGAAGAACUCCGAUUGCGAAGGCAGCCUACUAGGCUGUGACUGACGCUGAGGCACGAAAGCGUGGGGAUCAAACAGGAUUAGAUACCCCAGUAGUC